rnacentral:lncRNA from 1 species
GGGAUUUGAACUCAGGACCUUUGGAAGAGCAGUCAGUGCUCUUAUCCGCUUAGCCAUCUCUCCAGCCCAAAUGACAUCAUUUUUUAUUGAACAGUUGUCUUGGUUAGGGUUUUACUACUAUGAAUAGACACCACGACCAAGGCAACUCUUAUAAAGGACAACAUUUAAUUGGGGCUGGCUUACAGGUUCAGAGGUUCAGUCUAUUAUCAACAAGGUGGGAACAUGGCAACAUCUAGGCAGGCAUGGUAUAGGAGGUGUUAAGAGUAUUACAUCUUCAUCUGAAGGUUGCUAGAGGAAGACUAACUUCGAGGUAGCUAGGAGGAGGGUUUUUUGUUUCUUUGUUUGUUUUUGUUUUUUUAAAAGUUAAGGUCCUCUGAUGGGUACCACACUAGAGUUUAAUUGUAGACGUUUCAUAUGCCAGUAUAGCAACAUCCACAGGAAAAUCUAUAGUAUUGCAGCAAACACCUUUAUAAUGGCCAUUAUAAAGUAUUUAAACAUGUUGUUGACUCAACAGCAAAAUUUAUAAACUAUUAUCUUGUUAACACAAGGAACUAAAACUAGCCCGACUCUAUGAGAGAGCAUUUAGGGAACUAGGAAUAACAUUUGUGCAACAUAGUUUGGUUCAACACAACUAAGUAGCCAGUGUUGGUUCAAACUGAGUUUGAUCCUAGCUACUUUAUUUAAGGCGUAUGUAAACACAUCACAAUUUGGUGAAAAUUUGCCUGGUGAUAAUUAGAUCAACCCCAGGCACACAAUAAAGUUUGAGACAUGACCAUAUCAGAACUUUAUAAAGCACAUGUGGCAUCCUCCA